rnacentral:lncRNA from 10 species
UACCUUUCUGCCUCUCUCAGUAAAGGCUGUUAUUAAGUAACAAAUUCGGGUGGGUCAAGGGCAGAGUAACCAAGAGAUCUCAGCAAGCAUGAGGGAGAUUCAAGGAGCUGGCAUUGUGUGACUGGGGACAGAAAAGCCCUCAUGCAGGCAGGCGGGUCACAAUUGUUCCCUUCAGAUUUCUGAGGGGCUGCCUUGGUGGGAGAGGGGGUAGUUCAGUUCUGUGGGGCUCCAGGGGGCAAAAGGCAUGAUAAAUGAGUAGAAGUCAUGGAGAGGUGGAGCUUGCCUCCAGGCAGAAUGCUAAGAAGGAUGCUGCUGCACAGUGGGGACUGAGCCAACUCACUGUUCAACAAAUAAGCAUUGGAGGGUCUCUAGUUCCAUAGAAAGAAGGCAAAUGAAGAGGACAGAAGAAGGAGAGAGACCUUCCCACCCCAUCAGCCCUAUGCUGCAGAGAGGUUUAAUCACUCGAAAGCCCAAGGUGUGAAGAGGGAAUUGUGUGUGAACGCUAAGUGAAGACAUAUGAUGUGCUCUGGCCAAUGAA